rnacentral:rRNA from 1 species
GACGAACGCUGGCGGCGUGCCUAAUACAUGCAAGUCGAACGCAGUUGGGACGGGUGAGUAACACCUGGGUAACCUCCCAUCAGAGGGGAUAACACUUGGAAACAGGUGCUAAACCGAUAUUGAUUGAUGGACCCGCGGUGCAUUAGCUAGUUGGUGAGGUAACGGCUCACCAAGUCCACGCUGCAUAGCCGACCUGAGAGGGUGUUCGGCCACACUGGGACUGAUACACGGCCCAGACUCCUACGGGAGGCAGCAGUAGGGAAUCUUCGGCAAUGGACGAAAGUCUGACCGCGCAACGCCGCGUGAGUGAAGAAGGUUUUCGGAUCGUAAAACACUGUUGUUAGAGAAGCGGUAUCUAACCAGAAAGCCACGGCUAACUACGUGCCAGCAGCCGCGGUAAUAC